rnacentral:rRNA from 1 species
UGGGCGAAAGCCUGAUGCAGCAACGCCGCGGUAGCGAUGAAGGCCUUCGGGUCGUAAAGCUCUGUCCUCAAGGAAGAUAAUGACGGUACUUGAGGAGGAAGCCCCGGCUAGCUACGUGCCAGCAGCCGCGGUAAUACGUAGGGGGCUAGCGUUAUCCGGAAUUACUGGGCGUAAAGGGUGCGUAGGUGGUUUCUUAAGUCAGAGGUGAAAGGCUACGGCUCAACCGUAGUAAGCCUUUGAAACUGGGAAACUUGAGUGCAGGAGAGGAGAGUGGAAUUCCUAGUGUAGCGGUGAAAUGCGUAGAUAUUACGAGGAACACCAGUUGCGAAGGCGGCUCUCUGGACUGUAACUGACACUGAGGCACGAAAGCGUGGGGAGCAAACAGGAUUAGAUACCCUGGUAGUCCACGCCGUAAACGAUGAGUACUAGCUGUCGGAGGUUACCCCCCUUCGGUGGCGCAGCUUACGCAUUAAGUACUCCGCCCGGGAAGUAC